rnacentral:rRNA from 1 species
GAUGAACGCUGGCGGCGUGCCUAAUACAUGCAAGUCGAGCGAACGGACGAGAAGCUUGCUUUUCUGAUGUUAGCGGCGGACGGGUGAGUAACACGUGGAUAACCUACCUAUAAGACUGGGAUAACUUCGGGAAACCGGAGCUAAUACCGGAUAAUAUUUUGAACCGCAUGGUUCAUAAGUGAAAGACGGUCUUGCUGUCACUUAUAGAUGGAUCCGCGCUGCAUUAGCUAGUUGGUAAGGUAACGGCUUACCAAGGCAACGAUGCAUAGCCGACCUGAGAGGGUGAUCGGCCACACUGGAAGUGAGACACGGUCCAGACUCCUACGGGAGGCAGCAGUAGGGAAUCUUCCGCAAUGGGCGAAAGCCUGACGGAGCAACGCCGCGUGAGUGAUGAAGGUCUUCGGAUCGUAAAACUCUGUUAUUAGGGAAGAACAUAUGUGUAAGUAACUGUGCACAUCUUGACGGUACCUAAUCAGAAAGCCACGGCUAACUACGUG